AGCCGAGAUAGCUCACCAGGCAGAGCGGCGCACUCGUAAUGCGCAGGUACCGGGUUCGAUUCCCGGUCUCGGCUU
rnacentral:tRNA from 1 species